GAGGAAUAUUGGUCAAUGGGCGCAAGCCUGAACCAGCCAUCCCGCGUGCAGGAUGAAGGCCCUAUGGGUCGUAAACUGCUUUUAUAUACUAAGAAAACUUCGAACGUGUUUGGAUUUGACGGUAGUAUAUGAAUAAGCAUCGGCUAACUCCGUGCCAGCAGCCGCGGUAAUACGGAGGAUUCAAGCGUUAUCCGGAUUCAUUGGGUUUAAAGGGUGCGUAGGCGGCUUUUUAAGUCAGUGGUGAAAUCCUGCCGCUUAACGGUAGAAUUGCCAUUGAUACUGAGAAGCUUGAGUACAAUUGAGGUAAGCGGAAUGUGUAGUGUAGCGGUGAAAUGCUUAGAUAUUACACAGAACACCGAUUGCGAAGGCAGCUUACUAAACUGUCACUGACGCUGAUGCACGAAAGCGUGGGGAGCGAAC
rnacentral:rRNA from 1 species